GUGGGCAUAGUUUCAAUCAAAACAUUAGACUGUGAUCCUAAAAAUAGAAGCUAAAACCUUCUUGCCCACC
rnacentral:tRNA from 1 species